rnacentral:rRNA from 1 species
AUUGAACGCUGGCGGCAAGCCUAACACAUGCAAGUCGAACGAGUGGCGGACGGGUGAGUAAUGUCUGGGAAACUGCCUGAUGGAGGGGGAUAACUAAUGGAAACGGUAGCUAAUACCGCAUACCAUCGGAUGUGCCCAGAUGGGCUUAGCUAGUAGGUGGGGUAAAGGCUCACCUAGGCGACGAGCUCUAGCUGGUCUGAGAGGAGGACCAGCCACACUGUAACUGAGACACGGUCCAGACUCCUACGUGAGGCAGCAGUGGGGAAUAUUGCACAAUGGGCGCAAGCCGGAUGCAGCCAUGCCGCGUGUAUGAAGAAGGCCUUCGGGUUGUAAAGUACUUUCAGCGGGGAGGCGUUACCCGCAGAAUAAGCACCGGCUAACUCCGUGCCAGCAGCCGCGGUAAUUC